rnacentral:rRNA from 1 species
CCUACGGGAGGCAGCAGUGAGGAAUAUUGGUCAAUGGACGCAAGUCUGAACCAGCCAUGCCGCGUGCAGGAAGACGGCUCUAUGAGUUGUAAACUGCUUUUGUACGAGGGUAAACUCCGAUACGCGUAUCUUUCUGCAAGUAUCUUACGAAUAAGGAUCGGCUAACUCCGUGCCAGCAGCCGCGGUAAUACGGAGGAUUCAAGCGUUAUCCGGAUUUAUUGGGUUUAAAGGGUGCGUAGGCGGUCGGAUAAGUUAGAGGUGAAAGCCCGAGGCUCAACUUCGGAAUUGCCGCUGAUACUGUUAGGCUAGAGAGUAGUUGCGGUAGGCGGAAUGUAUGGUGUAGCGGUGAAAUGCUUAGAGAUCAUACAGAACACCGAUUGCGAAGGCAGCUUACCAAGCUACUUCUGACGUUGAGGCACGAAAGCGUGGGGAGCAAACAGGAUUAGAUACCCUGGUAGUC